GACGAACGCUGGCGGCGUGCCUAAUACAUGCAAGUAGAACGCUGAAGAGAGGAGCUUGCUCUUCUUGGCUGAGUUGCGAACGGGUGAGUAACGCGUAGGUAACCUGCCUGGUAGCGGGGGAUAACUAUUGGAAACGAUAGCUAAUACCGCAUAAAAUUGAUUAUUGCAUGAUAAUUAAUUGAAAGAUGCAACUGCAUCACUACCAGAUGGACCUGCGUUGUAUUAGCUAGUUGGUGAGGUAACGGCUCACCAAGGCGACGAUACAUAGCCGACCUGAGAGGGUGAUCGGCCACACUGGGACUGAGACACGGCCCAGACUCCUACGGGAGGCAGCAGUAGGGAAUCUUCGGCAAUGGGGGGAACCCUGACCGAGCAACGCCGCGUGAGUGAAGAAGGUUGUCGGAUCGUAAAGCUCUGUUGUAAGAGAAGAACGGGUGUGAGAGUGGAAAGUUCACACUGUGACGGUAUCUUACCAGAAAGGGACGGCUAACUACGUG
rnacentral:rRNA from 1 species